UACGAAGGGGGCUAGCGUUGCUCGGAAUCACUGGGCGUAAAGGGCGCGUAGGCGGCCGAUCAAGUCGGGGGUGAAAGCCUGUGACUCAACCACAGAAUUGCCUUCGAUACUGGUUGGCUUGAGACCGGAAGAGGUAAGUGGAACUGCGAGUGUAGAGGUGAAAUUCGUAGAUAUUCGCAAGAACACCAGUGGCGAAGGCGGCUUACUGGUCCGGUUCUGACGCUGAGGCGCGAAAGCGUGGGGAGCAAACAGG
rnacentral:rRNA from 1 species